CAUGCGCCAGCGAUUACAGCGGCAUCCUUUAGCGCCUUUUUUGGCGCUAAAGAUAUAGUGGAAAGCGCGGUUUUUC
rnacentral:sRNA from 1 species